AUGACAGAAAGUUCCGGAAAAAGAUGUGAAAGUGGACCUAAUAUUCAAGAGGGAGCAACAGAAGAUCUGAUGGAGUUUUUCCUUUCAGCAUAUUUAUUGACUCCUGCCUAUAGGAUGCAUCACUGCUUCAACCAGAAUCAUCUGUUCAAGAACUGCAGGUCCCUGGUUUGCUAUACAUGACCAGCUACAUGCAAUGAAUUUAAAAAAUCAUCUUGGAAAUGGGAGUUUAGUAUAAGUCAUGCAUGAAAUUUUUCAUCAUUAUAGAUUUGUCCUCGACUGCAUUUGCCCUUGAAGAUGCAUUGUUUUUCUUUGUUUGGGAACUUUUGGUUUUUGCCUUUGAAGUGCUCUUCAGGCACUUAAUCAAAGGCUGUUAUUUCUGUUGCUAUGAACUUCUAUUUCUUCCACAGAAGGUAUUACAAUAAAAAUAAAGGAAAUAAAGGAAAUACAGAAAUUGCUCACCCCAGGGCAUUCAGCUGUUUCCAUUUUUCAUUUUCACUGUUCUCCCCUUUUCCUUAAAUAUAUUAAAUGGAGAGAUAAUUGUAUUCACAUAGUAACUACACAAUUGUAUUCUGUGUCUUUCAAAUAAAUUGUGCCAUUAAAUUUUGUAUGUUUACACUUCUUGUCAUUUUUGUUUAUUAUGGCUAUAUAGGUCAGUUUUGUGGAAUUGUCUACUUUGUUUAGCAGUAGCUCUGAACUUGUAAAUUUGGGGAAAAAAUAUCACAACAACAAUUCAAGUACUCAGCUCAGAGUGAUGUUAUAGUUACAGUUAUAGUUAUAUAUGUUAUGUAUAUAACAUAAUAGGAUUGAGAUUCUUUAACUAUCACCUUAUUAUUAUAUGAGUAGACCCAUUGAGGUCACAUAAACAGUAGGAAAGGAUGAAAACUUCCUUUUCAUUUUCCCAUUCCCCAAGAGCUGGAAGGUGUUGAUAUUGUAUUAUAACUGGUUAAUAUGUUAUCUAAAAGAUACUACCUUAAUUAUGAAUUUAUGGAUAAUCAGUAACUUGUUCCCAUUUAUUUUGAAUAUAUAAUAGAGAUGAUAUGAAAAUAUGUUUGAGGCACUUUGUCUCUUCUCAUUUUCAUCUGAGCUCUUCAACUUUUUUUCCCCAUCCACUGUGUAGCAACUCAUAUAGAUAGGAUUCACCAGUGGGUUUUACUCUCUUAAAUGGCAAUGGAUAAAUCACCAAUAACAUAAGUUAUAAAGGGUACUCCAUAGUUUCCACAAUUCUAUUUUAAUGGCUGACAUAAAGUUAUCUGAAUUGG
rnacentral:lncRNA from 1 species